GGUCUGAAGUGGAGAGGCCACCAGUGAUGUGAACAGAUGCAGGCAUGGCUGAGAUGUAUGGAUGAGGUGCUAAACCAGCGUAGUUUACAGCAAAAUACAAAGGUAAAUGUCACAGUGUAAUCUGCAGUUCUUCAACAACUGACCUGUGAGCAGCUCAGCUUCUGUGCAUGGAAAGCAGUGCUCUGAGUCAGAAGCCUCAGCCAUGCCCUGUCUGCUCGGGUAUCUGCACUUUGGCAGAAAAUGUAAGGAUUAAAAGCAGGGUCACUGCACGGCUUUGAUUUAGACAAACCAUAGAAGAGAUGGAAUAGACACAACUGUGGGGACAGAAACUUUGGAUAUCAAGACCAAGCUGCCUGGCUCGUGAUCUCCAGAUGCUUGUGGAUGUAACAGACGUGAACAAAAGAAUUCUGUCUGCAGGAGGAUUUCUCUCUUCACUUCAGAAUCAGGCUCCCUUACGACUUAGAUUUUUUUUUAAUACUCCAAGUGAGAAAUCUAAGGAAAAAAAUCAGCUGAAAUCAACACAAACAGUAUUUUCAGGUGAAUGUUUUAUUUCAAGGGUAAUUGCCACGUGAUCAUUUUACAUACUAUAUAAUAAUGUGCACUGAAAAAAUGCACUGAAAAAAAAAUAUCAGAAAACAGUAGAACAUCUAGACAUUUAGACCUUAUCACAACCCAUGGAGAGCUGCUUUAGUCAAACAAAAUUCAAUGAAAUAUCUAUAUGCUAAACACUGAUUUGGAUGUGAUUACACUUCUGGGUAGAAAAUGGCUCCCUUAAUUCCUUCUGCCUGGCCCUAAUUAGCAGUAAAGCGUGGUAUAUAUGUAAAAAUGUUAGCAUCAUAUUAGCCAUGCUCUACAUAGUAUGUAAGAUGGAGGUUUGUACUUUCUCACUCUAGCUUUUCCCUGUGACAAAAAAAAAAAAAAAAAAAAAAAAAAGCCUUCCCAGUUCCAGUAAAGGUAUUGAUAAUAAAAUGAGUCAGAGGUUUCUUUCUCAUCUCAGGCUCCUUUUGUCAAGCUAGUACUCUUCAAAAGGCCUGGACAAAAGAUAAGAUAAAGAGUUACAGAUCAGAGUGCCUGUGCUUAUCUGCAAUUUCCCUUCAGUUCUUUUUGGUUUUUUUUGUUUUUUUUCCUAAGGGAAAGAAGAAUGCCAAAAUCCAGAAAAGGACUAACUAUCAUUUGUAACGAGAACACAAAUUGGUCAUCUGUAAAACUGGGUUAAUGACUGUGACCUAUUCAUGAACUGCUUCAGCAUCUCCUUCUACAUAAUAUUGGAGUUAGCAAAUAUGAAAAACUGAAUAAUUCAUCUCCUAAUAUAACAUACAGAAAACUAUAAUAAAUCAAGCAUUUCUAUUUUACCAAGAUCAAGAAUUUUACUAACUUGGCAAUCAUGCAGGAGAUCAUCCACUCUCAGUCUUUUUCAGACACCAGAAGCCAAUCCAAAUGUAACACUCAUUGCAUGCACACCACUGUAGGACUGUUGGGAUGUUGUUUGGAAGGGCUCUCUUGAGGUUUUCUCAUCCAACCUCCUGCUCGCAGCAGGACACUUGCCAGCAUUAAGCCAGGUCAGCUGUCUAGCUUGCUGUCCUCAAGGAUGGAAAUUUCACUGGACUGUGUCCUGUUCUGGUGACAGACAAAGAAAGCUUAACAGAAAAAAUAUAUACCUGCUAGACGGCCACUACCUGAUAGUACAGAGUUAGGGCAGCCCCUAAUGUCAGCUAAACCUGUCUCUGGAUAGAAAGUGACACGGUGUUCCUAUUUUGACCUUCAUUUUUUAUUGUUUCUUGUUAAAUCUCAUUAAAUUUGUUUUGCUGAUUUGUAUUCCAUUACAGUGCUGUAUUUUGGCUGUAAGAUGGUUUAUUCAUCAUCUGAACAUAACUUGAGAGUGAGUUUUCUGUGGCCUGAAUGUGGUUGUAGGGGGAGAGGCUCUGGACGGAUACAUCUAAUACUUGUUGUUACAUUGGCAAAAAGUAAGUUCUGAGAGAUGGAGGCUUUAUUAGGAGCCAUUACAUAAAAACACUUAAAAGUCCACCAGAUAAGACCUAUUAUUUUGUGUGGCUUUUUAUUUUCUACGUUGAUUCUGACUACUACGAAAUUGCUGGUACAUCAUUACAAGGUUAGCAGAAAUGUGAUCCUCAAAGCACAUCCACAGCAGGGAAGCUUGGAAACCCCACGUGGCUUUGUGGCUGAAGCACUGAAGUGGGCAGACACAGGUCUUUAUUCCCAGCGUUUGCCCACAGUAGGCAAACUAUUUCAUCUGUUCCCCAUCUGCAAACCAGAGUAAAUGGCAGUGACCUACUUUAUAAAGUGCUUUGAGAUCCAUUGAUGAAAAAAAAAAAUAAACAAGAGACUUUGCAAAUGCUAUAUAAAAGGGCUUAUUUCUGGGAAAUUCUUUGUGCUCCAAGUGUUCAUUACAAGAGAUCGCUCUGAUUUAAAUAUGUCCCUUUAGAAGCCAAUUCAGUUAAAUCAGUGCAACUUUUGGGUACACACAAGGCCAAAGAAAAAGCCUGAAGCAGUAAGUGCAGGGAAAAGGGAAUGUUCUUGUAUGCAGAUCCUGCAGAGCAGAGUAAAAUCCUCUGAAGCAAGCAUUUAGGUUAUGCUGGCUUUGACCUCCUCCCCAUUUAACAUGGG
ensembl:lncRNA